rnacentral:RNase_P_RNA from 5 species
CUAGGAAGCUGGAUGAUAGGGCGUACCAUACGGUACACCCAGGAAAGUCCAGACAGCAUAGAGCAGGGUGGCCGGUGUAAGCCGGCAGUCGUAAGACCUAGUUAGAGCAACAGUGACGAACCGGGUUGCGCCGGCUGAAACGACCAAGCUUAUGGGUAUUUGAUUCGUAAAGCAAGCAAAGGGUUUACCCUGAGCGAGCGAAGCGAGUCGAAGGGCAAUCCUCCCCGCUGCAAUCCUAGAAAUGACUGAGCUGCUCGCUCGAUAGUCAAAAUCAGGAGCACCUCGCCGAAAGGCGGGCCAGGUGACAUUAGAAAUCACUUGAAGAUAAAUUUCAUCUUUAAAACAGAAUCUGGCUUAUAUGCUUCCUAGGCAC